rnacentral:rRNA from 1 species
ACGCUCGACACCUACGGGGGCAGCAGUGGGGAAUAUUGCACAAUGGGGGAAACCCUGAUGCAGCGACGCCGCGUGAGCGAAGAAGUAUUUCGGUAUGUAAAGCUCUAUCAGCAGGGAAGAUCAUGACGGUACCUGACUAAGAAGCUCCGGCUAAAUACGUGCCAGCAGCCGCGGUAAUCUGAGCGGGCUGGCAAGGC